rnacentral:rRNA from 1 species
AUUGAACGCUGGCGGCAGGCCUAAUACAUGCAAGUCGAACGAGUGGCGGACGGGUGAGUAAUGUCUGGGAAAAUGCCUGAUGGACGGGGCUAACUUCUGGAACCUGUAGCUAAUACCGCAUAACAUCCUCUGUGCCAAGAGGUGAUUAGCUAGUUGGUGGGGUAACGGCCCUCCAAGGCGACGAUCCCUAGCUGGUCUGAGAGGAUGACCAGCCACACGGGAACUGAGACACGGCCCAGACUCCUACGUGAGGCAGCAGUGGGGAAUAUUGCACAAUGGGCGCAAGCCUGAUGCAGCCAUGCCGCGUGUAUGAAGAAGGCCUUCGGGUUGUAAAGUACUUUCAGCGGUGAGGCGUUACCCGCAGAAGAAGCACCGGCUAACUCCGUGCCAGCAGCCGCGGUAAUAC